rnacentral:rRNA from 1 species
GACAGAGGAUGCAAGCGUUAUCCGGAAUGAUUGGGCGUAAAGCGUCUGUAGGUGGCUUUUUAAGUCCGCCGUCAAAUCCCAGGGCUCAACCCUGGACAGGCGGUGGAAACUACCAAGCUGGAGUACGGUAGGGGCAGAGGGAAUUCCCGGUGUAGCGGUGAAAUGCGUAGAGAUCGGGAAGAACACCAAUGGCGAAAGCACUCUGCUGGGCCGAAACUGACACUGAGAGGCGAAAGCUAGGGGAGCGAAUGGG